rnacentral:piRNA from 1 species
CGUUAGCACUACCGUUACUACCCGUAAGCAA